rnacentral:rRNA from 1 species
UGGGGAAUUUUCCGCAAUGGGCGCAAGCCUGACGGAGCAAGACCGCGUGAGGGAGGAAGGCCCUUGGGUUGUAAACCUCUUUUCUCAGGGAAGAAGAAAGUGACGGUACCUGAGGAAUCAGCCUCGGCUAACUCCGUGCCAGCAGCCGCGGUAAUACGGAGGAGGCAAGCGUUAUCCGGAAUUAUUGGGCGUAAAGCGUUCGCAGGUGGUGUCUCAAGUCUGCGGUCAAAGACCGAAGCUUAACUUCGGGCAGGCCGUGGAAACUGAAACACUAGAGUACGGUAGGGGUAGAGGGAAUUUCCAGUGUAGCGGUGAAAUGCGUAGAGAUUGGAAAGAACACCAGUGGCGAAGGCGCUCUACUGGACCGUAACUGACACUCAGGGACGAAAGCGAGGGUAGCGAAAGGGAUUAGAUACCCCUGUAGUCC